rnacentral:rRNA from 1 species
GACGAACGCUGGCGGCGUGCCUAAUACAUGCAAGUAGAACGCUGAAGGAGGAGCUUGCUUCUCUGGAUGAGUUGCGAACGGGUGAGUAACGCGUAGGUAACCUGCCUGGUAGCGGGGGAUAACUAUUGGAAACGAUAGCUAAUACCGCAUAAUAGCAGUUAUUGCGUGAUAACUGUUUGAAAGGUGCAAUUGCACCACUACCAGAUGGACCUGCGUUGUAUUAGCUAGUUGGUGGGGUAACGGCUCACCAAGGCGACGAUACAUAGCCGACCUGAGAGGGUGAUCGGCCACACUGGGACUGAGACACGGCCCAGACUCCUACGGGAGGCAGCAGUAGGGAAUCUUCGGCAAUGGACGGAAGUCUGACCGAGCAACGCCGCGUGAGUGAAGAAGGUUUUCGGAUCGUAAAGCUCUGUUGUAAGAGAAGAACGAGUGUGAGAGUGGAAAGUUCACACUGUGACGGUAUCUUACCAGAAAGGGACGGCUAACUACGUG